GACGAACGCUGGCGGCGUGCUUAACACAUGCAAGUCGAACGGAAAGGCCCUGCUUUUGUGGGGUGCUCGAGUGGCGAACGGGUGAGUAACACGUGAGUAACCUGCUCUUGACUUUGGGAUAACUUCAGGAAACUGGGGCUAAUACCGGAUAGGAGCUCCUGCUGCAUGGUGGGGGUUGGAAAGUUUCGGCGGUUGGGGAUGGACUCGCGGCUUAUCAGAUUGUUGGUGGGGUAGUGGCUUACCAAGGCUUUGACGGGUAGCCGGCCUGAGAGGGUGACCGGCCACAUUGGGACUGAGAUACGGCGCAGACUCCUACGGGAGGCAGCAGUGGGGAAUAUUGCACAAUGGGCGGAAGCCUGAUGCAGCAACGCCGCGUGCGGGAUGACGGCCUUCGGGUUGUAAACCGCUUUCGCCUGUGACGAAGCGUGAGUGACGGUAAUGGGUAAAGAAGCACCGGCUAACUACGUG
rnacentral:rRNA from 1 species